rnacentral:sRNA from 1 species
AAACUUUUCAGUCACACAAAAGAUGAUGAUGGCUGUGGCGACGAUGGUCCAUAUGGAACCAAUGUACUUUCAAUUAACCUUCAAUUUCAGUCAUAAACCACAAAAAACAUAUUAACAACUUAAUGGACGAGUGUUCAUCUCCGUCCAUUCACACAAUCAUGGCAAUGGUCGCACAGGCUGGUGAAGCCUCAAAAGAUGAUGAUCACCGUUUUUUGUUGUUACAUUGACAUUUGGAAAUUGUAAAUAUCAAAAGUCAAAGAUUCAUAGACAUUGACAACGCAUUGUAUUCAUAGAGUGUGAGAUUUUAUUUGUGGUCGGCACCAUUUUAGAAUUAAAAAAAUUAGUUUUGAAACAAUUUUGUAGUUUUUGGGUAAAAAACAUUUGGAUUGCAAGGCUUUGGAAGCCGUUCUAUGCUUUGAGCAUAUUCACAAAUUAGACUAAAAAUUAACCAAAAAUAAUAAGGUGUUAUAAAAUGUUCAAUAAAAUUUUUACAACGCCAGCCAGACUGAAA